GGUUAAGCGACUAAGCGUACACGGUGGAUGCCCUGGCAGUCAGAGGCGAUGAAGGACGUGCUAAUCUGCGAUAAGCGUCGGUAAGGUGAUAUGAACCGUUAUAACCGGCGAUUUCCGAAUGGGGAAACCCAGUGUGUUUCGACACACUAUCAUUAACUGAAUCCAUAGGUUAAUGAGGCGAACCGGGGGAACUGAAACAUCUAAGUACCCCGAGGAAAAGAAAUCAACCGAGAUUCCCCCAGUAGCGGCGAGCGAACGGGGAGCAGCCCAGAGCCUGAAUCAGUGUGUGUGUUAGUGGAAGCGUCUGGAAAGGCGCGCGAUACAGGGUGACAGCCCCGUACACAAAAAUGCACAUACUGUGAGCUCGAUGAGUAGGGCGGGACACGUGGUAUCCUGUCUGAAUAUGGGGGGACCAUCCUCCAAGGCUAAAUACUCCUGACUGACCGAUAGUGAACCAGUACCGUGAGG
rnacentral:rRNA from 1 species